CUAAAGUAAGUUAUUAAACCCAUCUCAGCUUCUUUGAUAUCAACCAAGUUCACUAGUUGCCCAUUUUAGCAUCAUCGCCAUAGAUCUCUGCAUCUAAAUCUCACUUGAUAACCCGGAUUACCUGUAACCAGCGACGGCGACACUAUGUCAUUAUCAGUUUCAGCACAACAAGUUGCCCUUUUUCUUUUCAAGAGAUUCAUGAAAAUGAAGGAUAUGGAACGAUGUAUAAAAUGGGUGUUCAUACCAACAACCAUUAGUGAUUCAUGUGGAUUAGACUACUUUCAUAAUUGCAUUACUGGCUAAUAUCAAUAUCAAAUCAUGCACCGUGAGAUUACAUGUACAAACAUCGUGGAAAGUUAGCUAUAGAUUCAAAAAGGUGUAUAAUAGAUUUGAAAUGUCUAUCAACAUUUGAUUAACAAAUGUAAGAAUGCAAUGUUGUACUAGAAGUAAUCUAAGUUUAGAAAAGGAAAAUAAGAUAGUUUUAAGGUUGUAUUGUUAUCACUUGAGAUUUUCCUAGUUUAUGAGUAUAUGAUUAUUGAAA